UACGAGAGGCCCAAACGUUAUUCGGAAUUACUGGGCUUAAAGAGUUCGUAGGCGGCAUUGCAAGUAGGGUGUGAAAGCCCUCGGCUCAACCGAGGAAUUGCGCUCUAAACUGCAGUGCUCGAGGAACCUAGAGGUGAGCAGAACAGAUGGUGGAGCGGUGAAAUGCGUUGAUAUCAUCUGGAACGCCGGUGGCGAAAGCGACACACUGGGUCUUAACUGACGCUGAGGCACGAAAGCCAGGGGAGCGAACGGG
rnacentral:rRNA from 1 species